UAUCAAGAGAAUAUGAGAGCUGGAGUGCAGUGGCGUAAUCUCAGCUCACUGCAACCUCUGCCUCCUGGGUUCGAGGAAGUUUCCUGCCUCAGUCUCCCUCCGAUAUGGAAUUACAGGCACAUGAUACCAUGCCCGGCAAAUUUUCGUAUUUUCAGUAGAGAUGGGGUUUUGCCAUGUUGGUCAGGUUGGUCUUCAAAUCCUGACCUCAGGUGAUCUGCCUGCCCUGUCCUCCCAAAGUGCUGGGAUUACAGGCAUGAGCCAACACACCCGG
rnacentral:lncRNA from 1 species